AAAGACUGCUUAUUAUCUGUCCUUUUAUCUCUGUUCCCUCUCCCUCUCUUAGCAGGUUUCUGUUGUUGCGUUGCCAAGGCAACACCUGAUGACACUGACAUCCUCCCAGCAGGGAAGGAAGAUGCUUAAUCAGUCUGUCUGGUGGCUUGCUUCGAACAGAGAAACCUCCUUGUCAUUAUGAACCUAACUUGAUUGUCCUAUGAACAAGACAAGCUUCCCAAGUCCAAAAGUAAACAUCAUUUCAGAGAUCAAAGGAUACUCUUAAGAAGAGGUACAGGGAAGUCAUAUGCAGUGGCCCAAAGUUGUCUAUUCAGUCUGUCGGGUCAGAGGGUACCCUCACCAGAGAAGUCAUUGGAUCUCCUCUGCUUGCACAUAUCCUGCAAACACCUGCAGAAGCUGCAGAAUCAGGACACACCGUUCCAGCAAAAGCUCAAAGAGAGUCUCUUUUGAGUUUCAUUAUUUCUCAUUCUGCCUUGGAAACACUGCCGUGUAGAGGAUGAGAUGGUAAUGUUAAUUCUACCUUUGGUCCUCUAAAGGUGAUUGAA
rnacentral:lncRNA from 1 species